rnacentral:sRNA from 1 species
GUGUUUUUAUUGCGAUUAAAAAAAUUAUGUAUGUUUGAAGCUGUUCCCUUACAUGAGAUCUACAUCCAAAUUACAUUACAUACAGCGCCACUGGAAGAAAUCAGCGGCUAAAGAGGCGCCUGCACAGUUAAAAGCGGGCACAAGCGGAACUAAGAAUACUUACAUACACAAAGAAGCUGGCAGCUAUGGAAUUUCAGAAAUAGGCACUGAUAAGAGGUUUGAGAGCAAUUGGUCUGUGGUAUAGUAAAAUGUGGAAGCAAUUGGAGCUGUACUUGAAGUGGGCCUGCGAGGGAGCCCUAUCCGCCGUUUUACUGGGAGCUCCAUGGAAAUGUGGAGCGUGCUGAACAACAUCCUAGCCCUGGACAAGAAUCAGGAGGUACUGCAGAGCUUCAUCCGGACGUGCGCCAAUGCAGAUCCCAUAUGUGAGAUGAGAUUCGAAUAAAAUAUGUAGAUCGGAAAGUGCAAAACGACUACUUCCUGGUGAUACUUAUUGCGCAUGCAUUUCCAUCGGACCAGACUAUUAUCAGCUCACAAUAUUAUUAUUGAAUGUGCUUUUCUGUUCUGUUAAUAGUGGAUCGACGACCAUUCUUUGUCGUGCCAGCCACGCCCUCAGUAUUGUACACUUUGCCCUCGAAUUAGUGGUGAAUUUUCAAUGGAUUUUCUUCAAUGUGCAGGCGCCCUGCGCGCUAUGUCGUGCUUAAUACAAAUUACUCACCUGCAGCCUAUGAUUAGAUGUGUAUUUAUUUGA